UUUCUCUGAGCGUUUCCUUUCCCUAUCUUGGGAUAAAUAACGUUUAGUGGCGGCUCUGUGUGUUUUAUUUCUUUUUAGCUCGCCGGUUUUUUUCGCAGGAUGCGAUAAGAUCUGAUGCCCCUUGGUUUUUUUUUAUUUUAUGAUUUUUCAUUUAAUUGCUUUAUUUUGUUUAAUUCAUAAUAAUUUCAUUUUUAAUCCAAAAAGUAUGUGACUUUCACCAAAAAUCUUUAAAUAUUUUUCUAUUUCAUUUUCUAAAUUAAAAUUAUUUUUUUGGAUUAAUUUUGAUAUUUUUCAUGAAUUAAAUGUUUUUGUGCAUAUUUUUAAUUGUUUAAAAAUACUUCUGACUUUUC
rnacentral:lncRNA from 1 species